rnacentral:rRNA from 1 species
UACGUAGGUGGCAAGCGUUGUCCGGAUUUAUUGGGCGUAAAGCGCGCGCAGGUGGUUUCUUAAGUCUGAUGUGAAAGCCCCCGGCUCAACCGGGGAGGGUCAUUGGAAACUGGGAGACUUGAGUGCAGAAGAGGAUAGUGGAAUUCCUAGUGUAGCGGUGAAAUGCGUAGAUAUUAGGAGGAACACCAGUGGCGAAGGCGGCCUGCUGGACGACAACUGACGCUGAGGCGCGAAAGCGUGGGGAGCAAACAGG